GCCUCGUUAGCACAGUAGGUAGUGCGUCAGCCUCUUAAUUUGAAGGUCAUGAGUUUGACUCUCACACGGGGCA